rnacentral:lncRNA from 10 species
AUGAUCAGGAUUCUGGGAUCAAAAGUCAAGUCAGGAAAAUACACAGUUGGUGCUUACAGAGCUAGAGCCAGGGAAGAUGAAUCUGAAAAUGGGGAAUCCAAGAGGUAGAAGAAAAUACAGCAAGGAAGUUAUAUUGGUAUGAUCUGAGCAUACACUGGGAUUUUUUUUUUUUUUUUUAAGCAAGCUGUCUUGGAGAUGUGAAAGGGCAGGAAAGGGCCAGGCUUCUAAAAAAAGUGAGUUAAACUAAACAUUAUCCUUGAACUCAAGCUGAGAAAAUAGGUACAAAGGCUUACCUGGCAGAAACCUGCUACAAAAUGUGGGUCAAAGUGGACUUUUCAAAUGCACUCCUGUGUUCAGUGUCCCUUUCGCUCCCCGGAUACUAUAUCUCUAUAGUCUUGGAAGCCUAAACGUUCUGGUUUCUUAGUGACUGUGGGAGGUUUCAAGGCUACAGCUAAUUAAGAGAGUCUUACUGAGCAAAGUCAGCAAGAUAAUAGAUCAGUCAACAUAAAACAAGCCUAGAUACCUGUUCUUAACAUUGUGGCAGAACUGGGCAAAGAAGAGACAGAUGUACAUACACCUGUGAUGUAUGUACAUCAAACCAAAGAUUUCUCCCAAGUGUGGGGUGCCAAUAAGAGUAAAAUGGAGUAAACCAGAGAUUGUAUGAAUAUUUUUUCUUUUUUUUUUUUUUUUUUUUUUUUUUUGAGACGGAGUCUUGCUCUGUUGCCCAGACUAGAGUGCAAUGGUGCGAUCUCCGCUCACCACAGCCUCUGCCUCCUGGGUUCAAGCAAUUCUCUUGCCUCAGCCUCCCGAGUAGCUGGGAUUACAGGCACCUGCCAUCAUGCCCAGAUAAUUUUUGUAUUUUUGUAGAGAUGGGGUUUCACCAUGUUGUUGGUCAAGCUGGUCUUGAACUCCUGACCUCAAACGAUCCACCCGCCUCAGCCUCCCAAAGUGCUAGGAUUACAGGUGUAAGCCACUGUGCCCAGCCUGUAUGAAUAUUUUUUCUAAGCACCAGACAAAACUGAGAUCCAUUGAGCAAAGCAGAGAAGUUGUAG